GGGCUUAAANCNUCCGUAGCCGGCUUAGCAAGUCUCCUGUUAAAUNCAGCGACCUAAUCGUUGAGCCGCGGGAGAUACUACUAGGCUAGGAGGCGGGAGAGGUCGACGGUACUCCCGGGGUAGGGGUGAAAUCCUAUAAUCCCGGGAGGACCACCAGUGGCGAAGGCUGUCGACUAGAACGCGCUCGACGGUGAGGGACGAAAGCUGGGGGAGCGAACCGGAUUAGAUACCCGGGUAGUCCCAGCCGUAAACGAUGCGGGCUAGGUGUUGGGGUGGCUACGUGCCACUUCAGUGCCGCAGGGAAGCCGUUAAGCCCGC
rnacentral:rRNA from 1 species